rnacentral:tRNA from 1 species
AGUUAAAAAGCUUAUUAAUGCCUAUAUUUUGAAAAUAUAAGAAAGAGAUUAAUAUGUCUCUUUUAACUU